UACUCUACGCCCUCCAAGUAUGAAGGCUGUAUUUCCUUAUCUUUUUUCCUUAUAGUUGACAUAAAGUGUGUACCGUGAGAUUGCAUGUGUGGCCAAGAGGUGGCAGUGGUUCCAUAUCCCUAAUUGCACGGGUGCCUUAAAUUUCAAAAGCAUGGAAGUUACCAAGGGCUUGCAUUGAUUGGCUGAGUCACCAACAGAAAGGUUCUCUUGUGCAUUGGAAAACAAGAACUAAGACACAGAAACAGCUCUUCUAAGAAAAGAAGGUUUGGAAUCACAAAUUGUAUCAAGACUGAGAUAUCGGGAUGGAGAAAAUGCUGGGAUAUGCAUUAAUAGUCAUGUGCCUUCAGUUUGACUGGUCAAGUGGAGAAGACCAAGUGGAACAGAGUCCUCGGGCACUGAUACUCCAGGAGGGAGAUGAUUCCAGCCUCAACUGCAGUUACUCAGUCACCUAUUUUAGAAGCCUACAGUGGUAUAAGCAAGAUCCUGGGAAAGGUCCUGAAUUCCUCUUCCUCCUGUCUUCAGUUGGGGAUAAAAACCAGAAAGAGAGACUUAGAGGCACGUUAUCAAAACAGGAAAGUUCACUGCACAUCACAGCCUCUAAACCUGAAGACUCAGCCACUUACUUCUGUGCUGUGGACACAGUGCUCUCCUGGCACCUGCAGCUUAUACGAAAACCCUAUAGCUGGGGCUCUUGAAUAAAUGCAGAGGCUUCUCUGUGCCUUUUCUCCUCAGAUAAAGGAGUGUUUACUGAGCACCUAAGUCCUCUUUCCAAGAGGUUCUAUGGAGAAUAAAGGCUUGUGUCAUGGCCAGAGAAUGAAGAUGUGUAAAUGCACAUGACUAUUCAGUCUGCCCAGGUAUCUUCGACAGUCCCCUUGUGCAUCAUGCUAAUGAGAGUUCCAGUUAUUCCAUAUCUUCACCACAAAUGCUGUCGGGUUUGUUGUUGUUUUUGUUGUUUUUAACCAUUCUGGUGUUAUGUAGUGUUAUCUCAUUGUGGUUUUAAUUUGCUGAGCACCUUUUCAUGUAUUCAUUGACCAUCUGGAUAUUUUUUUCUGUUCACUGCCUGUCCAAGUUUUUGGCUUAUUUUUUAGUUGAGAUAUUUGUCUAUUAUUCAUUUGUAGGUGCUCUUUAUAUAUUCUGGAUAUGAGCUCUUGUCAAAAACAACAUAGACUCUGAAUGAUGUCCUUUACAUUUGAAAAAGUCCGACACCCAUUCCUGAGAAAAACUCUCAGCAAAAUAGGAAUAGAAGGAAAAUUCCUCAACAUAAUAAGGGCAUUUAUUCAAAACCAACUGCCAACAUCAUCCUAAAUGGAGAGAGCCUAAAAGCUUUGCCUUUGGGAACAGGAACCAGACAAGGAUGCCUUUAUUACCACCCUUAUUUAACAUUGUGCUGGAGGCCCUAGCCAAACAUUUAGACUAAAAAAAGAAAUAAAAGGCAUCUAACUUGGUAAGGAAGAAGUAAAAGUGUCUCUAUUUGCAGAAGAUAUAACCUUAUACACAGAAAAGCCUAAAGAAUCCACUAUAAAACUACUGGAACUAAUAGAAGAGUUCAGCAAAGCAUCAGGAUACAAGAUAAACAUACAAAAAUCAGUUGGAUUCCUCUACACCAACAAAGAGAACAUUAAAUAGAAAAUCACUAAACCAAUACCAUUUACAGUAGCCCCCCAAAAGAUAAAAUACUUAGGAAUAAAUCUAAUCAGAGGUAUAAAAGGCCUAUAAAAGAAAAGUAAAAGACACUACUGCAAGAAACCAAAAGAGACCUAUAUAGGUAAGGAAACAUACCUUGCUCAUGGAGAAGAAGACUCAACAUUGUGAAAACGUCUGUUCUACCCAAAGUGAUCUAAAGAUACAAAGCAAUCCUGAUCCAAAUGCCAAAGACAUUUUUUAAUGAGGUGCAGAAACAAAUAACCAACUUCGUAUGGAAAGGGAAGAGGCCCUGGAUAAGUAAAGCAUUAUUGUAAAAGAAGAGCAAAGUGGGAGGCCUCACACUACCUGAUUUUAGAACAUACUAUACCGCCGUAGUAGUCAAAACAGCCUCGUACUAGUACAACAACAGAUAUAAAGACCAGUGGAAUGGAAUUGAGAAUCCAGACAUAAAUUCAUCCACUUAUAAGUGGCUGAUAUUUGACAAAGGCCCAAAGUCCAUUUACUGGGGAAAAGACAGUCUCUUUAACAAAUACUGCUGACAUAACUGGAUAUCCAUCUGCAAAACAAUUAAACAAGACCCAUACCUCACACCAUGCACAAAAACAAACUCAAAAUGGAUCAAAGACAUAAAUAUAAAACAUAAAACAAUAAACCACAUUGAAGAAAAAAUAGGGACAAUGCUAGGAGCCCUAAUACACAGCAUAAGCGGUAUACAAAACAGGACUAAUGAUGCAGAAACACCAGAAGAGAAACCAGAUAACUGGGAGCUCCUAAAAUUCAAACGCCUAUGCUCAUUCAAAGACUUCACCAAAAGAGUAGAAAGACAACCUGGAGACUGGGAAAUAAUUUUUGGCUAUGACAAAUUUGAUCAUUGCCUAAUCUUUUAAAUCUACAAGAUACUGCAAAACCUCAACAACAAAAAGACAACCCAAUUAAAAACUGGGUAAAGGAUAAGAACAGGCACUUCACCAAAGAAGACAUUCAGGCAGCUAACAGAUACACGAGGAAAUGCUCAGGAUCAUUAGCCAUUAGAGAAAUGCAAAUCAAAACUACAAUGAGAUACCAUCUCACCCCAAGAAGGCUAGCAUUAAUCCAGAAAACACACAAAAAAUAAAUGUUGGAGAGGUUAUGGAGAGACUGGAACACUUUACACACUGCUGGUGGGAAUGUAAAAUGGUACGCCCACUUUGGAAAUCGAUUUGGCACUUCCUUAAAAUGGCAGAAAUAGAACUACCAUAGGAUCCACCAAUCCCACUGCUUGGAAUAUAGCCUAGAGAAAUAAGAACCCUAUCAUGAGUAGAUAUAUGCACAUCCAUGUUCACUGCAGCACUGUUUACAAUAGCAAAAAGAUGGAAACAAGCUAGGUGCCCAUCAACGGAUGAACAGAUAAACACACUAUGGUACAUUGACACAAUGGAAUACUACGAAAUGAUAAAGAACAAUGAUGAAUCUGUGAAACACCUCAUAACAUGGAUGAAUCUGGAAGGCAUUAUGCUAAGUGAAAUUAGUCAGUUGCAAAAGGACAAAUAUUGUAGGAGACCCCUAUCAUAAGAACUGAAGAAAAGGCUUAAACACCAAAGAAAACAUUCUUUGAUGGUUAUGAGGGUGGGGAGGGAGGGAGAGGGGAACUCACUAACUAGAUAGUAGACAAGAAGUAUUUUAGGUGAAGGGAAAGACAGCACACAAUACAGGGGAAGCCAGCACAACUGGACUAAACCAAAAGCUAAGAAGUUUCCUAAAUACAGUCAAACACUUCGAGGGACAGAGUAGCAGGGGCGGGGGUUUUGGGACCAUGGUUUGUGGGGACACGCAGAUCGAUUGCCAUAACAAAGUUUAAUAAGAAAUUGUUCUGCAGCCCACUUUAGUGAGUGGAGUCUGGGAUCUUAAAAGCUAGUGUGAGGCCAUCUAAGACACAUCAAUUGGUCCUAACCCACCUGGAGCAAAGGAGAAUGAAGAAUAUCAAAGACACAAGGAAAAUAUCAGCCCAAGAGACAGAAAAGACAACAUAAACCAGAGACUCCAUCAGUCUGAGACUGGAAGAGCUAGAUGGUGCCCAGCUACAACCAAUGACUGCCCUGACAGGGAAGACAACAGAGAGUCCCUGAUAGAGCAGGAGAAAAGUGGGGUGCAGAUCUCAAAUUCUAGUAAAAUAGUCUGAGACUAGGGGGAACCCAGAGGACGUGGCCCCCUGAAUCUCUGUUAGCCCCAAACUGAAACCAUUCCCAAAGCCAACUCUUCAGACAAAAAUGAGACUGGACAAUAAAACAGAAAAUGACACCUGUGAGGAGUGUGCUUCUUAGCUCAAGUGGACACAUGAGACUCAGUGGGCAGCUCCUGUCCGGAGGUGAGAUGAGAAGGCAAAGGGGGACAGAAGCUUGCUGAAUGGACACAGGAAAUACAGGGUGGAGAGGAGUGUGCUGUCACAUUACAGGGAGAGCAACUAGGGUCACAUAACCAUGUGUGUGUAAGUUUUUGUAUGAGAAAUUGAUGUGAACUGUAAACAUUCACUUAAAGCACAAUAAAAAAAAAAUGAUGUCCCUUAAUGUACAAAAGUUCCAAUUUUAAUAAAGUUCAAGUAAUCAAUUUUUUUCCUUUACACUUAGUAUGUUUUCUGUCCUGUUAGAAUCCUAGCCUAAUCUAAGGCAUUGUUGUUGCUGUUGUUGUUGUUAGGUGCCGUAGAGUCGGUUCCGACUCAUAGCGACUGUAUGCACAACAGAACGAAACACUGCCCGGUCCUGAGCCAUCCUUACAAUUGUUGUUAUGCUUGAGCUCAUUGUUGCAGCCACUGCGUCAGUCCACCUUGUUGAGGGUCUUCCUCUUUUCUGCUGACUGGUACACUGCCAAGCAUGAUGUCCUUCUCCAGGGACUGAUCCCUCCUGACAACAUGUCCAAAGUAUGUAAGACGCAGUCUCGUCAUCCUUCCUUCUAAGGAGCAUUCUGGAGGCGCUUCUUCCAAGACAGAUUUGUUCGUUCUUUUGGCAAUCCAUGGGAUAUUCAAUAUUCUUCGCCAACACCACAAUUCAAAGCCGUCAUUUCUUCUUCAGUCUUCCUUAUUCAUUGUCCAGCCUUCACACACAUACGGUGCGAUUGAAAAUAUCAUGGUUUAA